UACGUAGGGGGCAAGCGUUGUCCGGAAUCAUUGGGCGUAAAGAGCGUGUAGGCGGUCCGGUAAGUCAGCUGUGAAAGUCAAGGGCUCAACCCUUGAAAGCCGGUUGAUACUGUCGGGCUAGAGUCCGGAAGAGGCGAGUGGAAUUCCCGGUGUAGAGGUGAAAUGCGCAGAUAUCGGGAGGAACACCAAUGGCGAAGGCAGCUCGCUGGGACGGUACUGACGCUGAGACGCGAAAGCGUGGGGAGCAAACAGG
rnacentral:rRNA from 1 species